rnacentral:rRNA from 1 species
UACAGAGGGUGCAAGCGUUAAUCGGAAUUACUGGGCGUAAAGCGCGCGUAGGUGGUUUGUUAAGUUGGAUGUGAAAUCCCCGGGCUCAACCUGGGAACUGCAUUCAAAACUGACUGACUAGAGUAUAGUAGAGGGUGGUAGAAUUUCCUGUAUAGCGGUGAAAUGCGUAGAUAUAGGAAGGAACACCAGUGGCGAAGGCGACCACCUGGACUAAUACUGACACUGAGGUGCGAAAGCGUGGGGAGCAAACAGG